GGGGACUUCUGCUGCGGCGCCUGGAGCACCUCUCCUCCUCCUUCUGCACUGACCUUGGCGCCUGCAAGGCUGUUCCUCACUCCUCUCACUCUCCCAGCUGCUGUAUGGCGCAGCGUUUAUUUUCCCUGUCUUAAAUAUGCUCUCACAGAGGCGCAAAACAACAUCAGUUAUUGGCUAGGCUCUGGUCAGCAGUGGAGCCCUUACCAAACAUGGGGCAGCUUCUAGAUCCUUCUCACAGAAGCCAGCCUUAUGGCCCCCUGCUACCAAAACCUUGCCACGUAAACCCACUACAACUUCUCAAUGAAGAAGAUAGAGGUUUUUAAGAAAUUUAAAUCCUUUUAAGUGCUUGUGGGAUAUUUAGGGUAAUGUCACACCUUUGCCAAGCCAGCAUGAAAAACAGCAUUAACUAAGUAGUGAAGCAGUCUGUGUGGACACAUUUUCAAGCUGUUUAAUAUGUCCGACAUGCUUAGUAAAUAUUCACAAAAAUUCCUCCAAUAUUUCCCCCCCUAAUAAGGGGAAAAAAGUAAAAGGAGUUUCUGGAACUACACCAAUUCUUCCAAAUAAAAUACUCACAUAUAUGUCUUUUCUUGGUAAUGUGUUUGCAAACUCUGAACAAAAAUGAAAAUAAAGAAGUAUAAAUUACUUCUGCUGUCUGAUCUAAGCCUGUAGAAAAGCUGCAGGUGAAGCUACAAGCUAAAAUUCACAAGAGGGUCAGAACUGAUUUUAUAGGUAAUUAGCAAGGGAAGUUGUGUUGUCACCACACUUCACACUGCCUAGGAAAAGAGAAGUGUCCUUUACUCAUUCACUGCUUGGUCUUGCUCAGACGUGUUCUCUGAGGCUAGAAUAUCAGGAUCUAUUUGCCAACAUCUCCUGCCUGUUUUCUGUGUACAGGCAGAAGAGGACUGUCAAGAAGAUCUCUGCUCUUCUCCUUUGGAGUGCUGGCAGCAAAGGAAGACAAUUGGGCUGCAGAACUACAGAGCUGAAUAUGCUUGUUGCCUCCUUCACUACCAGGAACAAAAUAGACUACACAGUUUCUUCUGUUGGGAAUUGGUAUACAGACGUGGACAUGAGUUCAAUCUGAGCUUGCUUUAAGCAAUCAGGAGCAGGCCUUAGAAAAUCUCACGGCCUGCUGUAGCUGAGCAAACCAAGCUACCAGAGUAACUGUGAGAAGCUCCCACGGCAGCGACUCCCACAUCACCCAAUUAAGGAACUCAGAAAAAUAUUGUUAUCAGCAGCUGGCCUCAAGAACAAGGUCUGCAUGACUGCUAAUCACAAGGGGGGUUCUUUUCUUGCAGGUGGGGUUGUUAUCUUAUAGUUGUUUGUCUGAGUGCUUUUGUCCAAUGAUCUUGUGUGAAACACUGUACGCCUCUGUCAAAUUCACUAUAAAAGCUAGGCUAUUCGGGCAAUAGAAGGAAGUUCACUGAUCACUCAUAUUGAGCGUCUGUGUCUUCCCUCCGUCGACAACAUUCUUCCAUGUCUAAUAUUCAUCAAUCAAAUUUUACUUAUAUAUAUCAGUUGAUACAUUAGGAACCUAAUAUCUUACUUUACCUUGCUAGUUUUAUACACCUUAUGCUAUA
rnacentral:lncRNA from 1 species